GAGCUAUACGGGUGCUUUAAGAGCAUGUGGCAGAUCAAAAAAUUAUUUGAUUGGGAAAAAGAACUGCUAUGGCUUGUUUUUGGUUUGGUGAGGUAAUCUCCGACGCGAUGUAUAGUUUGUCCAACCCCCACCAAAGGUAUCAUUUGGACUCAUCAAAUUGGCCUGCAAAUGUGGAACCUCAGCACCAUUGAACGUUCCCAAACCAAUCAUUUUCCUGGACAGCUGUAACGGUGGAUCGAAGUUGAAUUCCGGACGUUGCUCGGCUGCUUUGGAGACGCGAGAUAUUUCCGGAUCAUGGAUGCCAAUAUUGGCGAUCCUAUUCACCAAAGUGUCAAUCACCGGUUGAUCUACUCCAGAGCAGGGAAGCUCCGUAGCUAAAACCUUAUUAACGGUUCGAAGUUCGAAGUAAUCCGGGAUUCAAUCCUACCUUAGACCAACCUUGCGUGCUCAUCAAGGGAUGGUGAGCCACCGGUGGUGGUUUUAACAUGGCAUUCGGAAUGCUGCUUUUGAAUUCGGGAGUUUCCCAUAAACAUUCGAGACGAAGAGGCGAGAACAAAUUCCGAACAUUGGGUGGAACAGCUUGGGCCUGGCCAAUAACUUCAUCUGGAUUCGACGUUAUUUGUGGGCCCGUUCUUGUACCCUCAGGCUUUGAACCUGCUGAUUUUUGCUCGCGUGGCUGCUUCCGAAUAGCUCCCGUGUUAACUACCUUAGUGGUCGUUUCCUUCGGAGUUCCUUGAGGACAAUCGAGAGCCUGUCCCUCUUCAACGAAACUUAUUAACUCCUCAUUCUGCGGCGGAUUAGACAUCAUCGUCACACGAGUCCUAACAGGAGUUUCCGUCAUUGACUUCU